CACCCAUAGACAAUAUAUUUUUACCCUGCAUUUCAUUCCAAACCCGCUCACAAUCGUCUCCCUCCCCGCCACUCGCAUCUCCAUCUCUCCCAAACCCUAAUCAACUCUAUUCACUUCCCUCAAACAUAUACAUAGAAGAGGUGGAGCUGGAGUUAGCUAGAGAAACAUAUACAGAGAAGAGGCGGGAUAACAGGGGCUGCCGGAACCUUCUGUUCCCGCCGUCGGUUCUAUCCACCACGGUUCAGGCUUCAGCCACACCACCCCGUGGAGCUUCUUAUGCCACCGUUGACCGUCGAGGUAACAGGGGCUGCCGGAACCUUCUGUUCCCGCCGUCGGUUCUAUCCACCGCCGUUCAAGCUUCAGCCACACCACCCCGCGAAGCCUCUUAUGCCACCGUCGACCGUCGAGGUGAUGCUUUGCAUAGUCUAAGGACUAACUUAGAAGAUCCGAAUAGUGUGCUCCAAAGUUGGGAUCCGACCCUUGUAAACCCUUAUACAUGGUUUCAGCCACACCACCGUUCAGGCUUCAGCUACACCACCCCGUGGAGCUUCUUAUGCCACCGUCGACCGUUGAGGUAACAUGGGUUCUCUUUGCACCAAACUCCGUCCAUGUUGUCUAGCUUCAUCACAAGAUUCAUCGGUUACCGAAGAUCCUAAAGCCGGGAACAAGGAUGAGGAUGCGAGUGACACAAAUGCAUUUAAAGAAUACACAUUGGAGCAACUUAAAAACGCGACAUCUGGUUUCGUUGUUGAGAACAUUGUUUUCUGAGCAUGGUGAAAAGGCUCCAAAUGUCGUUUAUAAAGGGAAGCUCGAGAAUCAAACGCGGAUAGCUGUAAAGCUGUUUACUGGAUCUGCUUGGCCUGAUGCUCGACAAUUUUUGGCUUGCCAAACCAUAGAUUAGUACUAAAGGUCGGUUUAUGCAAUGGAACUCGACUACAGGUCUUAUCAUUGCGCGAUCGCGUUGUUGAAGCACGAAUCUUAUCUGGAAGUAAUAUUGGCGCUCGAACGUUUAUCCCUAGAUUUCGAUUAAUACCGUCAGACAAAAGGAUUCCGUUUAAAUUUCAAAGAAGACAGUUUCCUCUCGCUGUUUGUUUUGCCAUGACUAUUAAUAAAAGUCAAGGACAAUCCUUGUGUAAGGUUGGAUUGUUUCUAAAACAACCAGUUUUUACACAUGGCCAGCUAUAUGUGGCAUUAUCAAGGGUAAAAAGCAGAGAUGGACUCAAGUUAUUGAUACUUGAUGAGGAUGGUCAAAUUACAAACAAAACUACAAAUGUCAUGUACAAAGAAGUUUUUAGAGAUUUGUAGCAUGUAACGUUUACCUUUAUAUUAUAUUAUCCGACACUUUUGAAUACCUUAA